GAGAAAAAAUCCUCUUAAAAUUAUAAUGAUCCCUCGUGAUGAGUUUCAAAUCCCACUGUUUGUUUUUUUAUUUUUAACUCAGAAUGAUGGUUAUUGCCACCACUAGAUGUAGUGUUUUCUGUAGUUAUACUUCUGAUUCAAUUUCGAAUUGAAAACGAUCGUAAGCCUAAUAGUAAUACUACAAUUAGUACUCUGCAUGUAAUUUGCGUUUUGUUUUUAAGAGUGGAACAUUUAUAAAAACUAAAAAAGUGAUGGACCAGGCUUCCAGGAAUUUAAGAAAACCUGAACCUGAGCAACGUGAAGAAACUCAGUCCAUUAAAAGAGAUCAGACUAUGGCCAAGCGUCCGAGUAGAAAAUUUCCUAAACGAAGAAGAGAUGUGUAUGUUAACUCCAAAUCUUCUUUCAAAGCGCAGCUGGAAAAAUGUAAAAAGUUGU